rnacentral:rRNA from 1 species
ACGUACGCUGGCGGCACGCCUAACACAUGCAAGUCGAACGAAGUAGCAAUACUUAGUGGCAGACGGGUGAGUAACAUGUAGGUAUCUGCCCUUUGGCCUGGAAUAACACGAGGAAACUUGUGCUAAUACCGGAUAAGUCUUUACAGAGAAAGCUUUAUGCACCAUUGGAUGAGCCUGCACUUGAUUAGUUUGUUGGUGGGGUAAUGGCCUACCAAGACUGUGAUCAAUAGCUGAUUUGAGAGGAUGAUCAGCCACAUUGGGACUGAGACACGGCCCAAACUCCUACGGGAGGCAGCAGUGGGGAAUCUUGCACAAUGGAGGAAACUCUGAUGCAGCGAUGCCGCGUGAGUGAAGAAGGCCUUUGGGUUGUAAAGCUCUUUCGUCGGGGAAGAAAAUGACUGUACCCGAAUAAGAAGGUCCGGCUAACUUCGUGCCAGCAGCCGCGGUAAUACGAAGGGACCUAGCGUAGUUCGGAAUUACUGGGCUUAAAGAGUUCGUAGGUGGUUGAAAAAGUUAGUGGUGAAAUCCCAGAGCUUAACUCUGGAACUGCCAUUAAAACUUUUUAGCUAGAGUAUGAUAGAGGAAAGCAGAAUUUCUAGUGUAGAGGUGAAAUUCGUAGAUAUUAGAAAGAAUACCAAUUGCGAAGGCAGCUUUCUGGAUCAUUACUGACACUGAGGAACGAAAGCAUGGGUAGCGAAGAGGAUUAGAUACCCUCGUAGUCCAUGCCGUAAACGAUGUGUGUUAGACGUUGGAAAUUUAUUUUCAGUGUCGCAGCGAAAGCGAUAAACACACCGCCUGGGGAGUACGACCGCAAGGUUAAAACUCAAAUGAAUUGACGGGGACCCGCACAAGUAGUGGAGCAUGUGGUUUAAUUCGAAGAUACGCGCAGAACCUUACCAACACUUGACAUGUUCGUCGCGACUCUAAGAGAUUAGAGUUUUCGGUUCGGCCGGACGAAACACAGGUGCUGCAUGGCUGUCGUCAGCUCGUGUCGUGAGAUGUUGGGUUAAGUCCCGCAACGAGCGCAACCCUCACUUUUAGUUGCCAUCAUUAAGUUGGGCACUCUGAAAGAACUGCCAGUGAUAAGCUGGAGGAAGGUGGGGAUGACGUCAAGUCCUCAUGGCCCUUACGUGUUGGGCUACACACGUGCUACAAUGGUAUCUACAACAGGAAGCAAGACUGCGAAGUUAAGCAAAUCCCUAAAAGAUACCUCAGUUCGGAUUGCACUCUGCAACUCGAGUGCAUGAAGCUGGAAUUACUAGUAAUCGUGGAUCAGCGUGCCACGGUGAAUGCGUUCCCGGGUCUUGUACACACCGCC